CUGGGUAUCGGCUGCAGACUGGGCGCCUAGCGCCGAGGCAGUUGCUUGGACCCUUGCUGUGAUGUCGAGCUUUCGCGGUCACCUCGCCUCCGGGUGCUCCUUCUGAAGCCCUGACGUCGAGGGUUCGGUGCCCGCUGGUACCCUGAGCGAGGCCUUGGGGAAGGUCGGAACCCGGCCGGCCUCACCUGAGCCGAUCAGGACCCGCCUCCCGACCUUCUUCCUGCUCGGUCCAGAUCCCCAGCUUGCCCUAGAGGAGGCUUCAAGUCGAAAUUAUGACUUGAAAAGCUUUUGGGAACUGCUGCUUCCUGUUCGCAGUAGAACGCUCACUGUGGCCUCUCACUUGCUGUGUGCCUCUGAAAAAAGAUGUUUUGCCUGCAUGUAUGCCCGAGCACCACAUGUGUGCAAUGCCUGUGGAAGCUAGAAGAAAGAAUGGGAGCCUCUGGAACUAGAGUUACAGAUUCCGCGUGUGAAUGAAUGUGUGACUAGGCCGGCUCCCCAAGUCUCUACUGGCUCUGCAAGUGCAGAAGGCUCCCCUCCCUGAUGGCAGAGGACUCCGCUCCCCGAGAUGGGAGAGUCACCUGAGGGCCAGGGUCACCACAGGAGAGAAAUAACUUGACACCUUUGGUUGGAAAGGACUCACUCACCUUCAGCAUGCUGGACCAGAAGGCGUAAAGUAGACAAUAGGAGAUAAUUGGUUUGCAAGGAGGAAGAGAAGCCAACAGCUGCAUUCCAGCUCUGGCUGUAUGAUCAAAUGACAUGCAGGUUGUAUGAUUGUAUGGUGGUCAGACCACAAAGAGUUGAACGUGAACCACCCCCAUCUCGUUGCAGAAACUGUCCCCUUCUGUGGCAUUUGAAGACUGGGCAGCAUUGUAAUGAUCUUAACAGCAUAAAAACAUAAUUUGGUUCCUAGGUCAUUUUUAGAGUUCAUGUUCAAAUAAGGGGAUAGGCAAAUGCAAAUUGGCUUUUUUAAAAAAGGAAAGAAUAACGAGACAAGUUUCUUUCUUGUGUAGUUGGAAACGGGCUGAAGAAGUUCCCCAGAGCGUGGCAAUAGGUGCCUUGGCAGGACAGGUGCACGGUGGAGGUGCACUAGGAGCCAAUUUCUUCCCAUGUCUAAGUGUCCUGAACCACGCAGAACUAUCAGGAAGAGAGCUCUGGCAGGCUCCCUUGUGGGCAGAGACAGUCAGUCUGAGGGAGAGACAGAGCCCGGUGUGCCUGUGUGCACACGGCUGUGCGCAUAUGGACGGCGCUAAGAUGCGAAUCACACUGAGCGGCAGAGCGGGAUGUGCCUGUGUGCACACGGUUGUGCACAUAUGAACAGCGCUAAGAUGUGUCUCACACUGGAUGAUAUUCUACUUUCAGAAUUUUUGUAUUUAAUAACUCACCAAGGUUCUGAUUUGUCUUAUAGUUGUUAUUUCUUUUUAAAUUCUCAAAUGUGUUAUAAUAAAAUAUAAAACCAAGGUAGACACACUUGAAUACCGAAAACCCAAGCAGUGUAGCACAGACAGGCCUUAGCAUGUGGUUUUAUAAUCUGUCUGCUUAAGAGUGCUCAAUUAUUUUCACAAAUUCCAAGUGUGAAUGUGUGCCUAGGUGCUAAUUACCAUUUUAAAAAGCACUCAGCUGUCUCGCACAGCACAAUGCCAACAGACAAUCCUAAUUUUAACUUUUUUCCUUACGCAGGGUGCUUUUUUCCCAAGUAUUUAGUUGCCCCCUGCUGGCCAUAUAAGUACAGAAUUUCUUUUUUAAAGUUCCCAACAGAUUGAUCAUAUUUAAUAAAGCUAAGCUUCUGAAGAGGUGUAUUUACCUUUUUAAAAUACAUUGCAGGGCUGGAAAGAUGGCUCAGUGGUUAAAAGCGCUGGCUGCUCUUCCAGAGGACUGAGUUCAAU